CGAAACUGCAGUUCUCCGCGCCGUCCGCCGCAGAUGGGGCUCCGCCGCGGUCGAAACACUGGUAGAAGUCGCGCCCGUUAGCCGUUAGCCAUCAGUUCAGAAACAUCGGCUAAUUGUCUCCCGUUCUCUGCAUCUGUCGUCGCCGCACCACCGCCACCUGCUACUCCGGUCGGCGAUGGCCACCUCCGUCACCGCCGCUCUUCCUCGCCGCCGACAACCUGUUCGGCUCCCGCGCGUAUCGUCAGGGCUAACCCUAGCCGCCAUGGCUCGGUUCACCGGAGCGGCUUCCCGGCUACCGAGGAGGAGGGUAACGAAUGAAGCGCCGAGAGUGGCCGUGCGCUGAGAACGUGGAUGCGGGAAUGUGGGCGUCGGUCCAUGGUAGGAGGAGCUCUGUGAUUGGCUCGUCGACCGCGGGGAGAUGGACGCAGCGGGGAUGGUGGAGAGAAUGAUGGGCUUCAUGGUGCGGGCGAGGCACUGAGGCUGGCCUCCUUCUUUGCCGGCGCGGCGGCUACUUCCUCUACAACUACAAGUUCGCCCACGACUCCGCGACCCUCCAGGGACGGAGCCAGCUUUCGACCUUGAGGGGGGCAAAAUAGUGUUGUAAACUUCAUGAGGGGGGCAGAGAGAUUCAACAAAGGAUGUGAUGGUAGAUGCUUUGCAGGACUUGAUGGUCAUGUGCCUUCAUUCACCUUCCAGCUCCCACUACCAAAUCCGGAGACCGACCAAUUCUUCUCCAAGAGAUCACAUACUCGCGCCAUCACUGGCAGCGAGCGCCGUGUCCUCCCCCGAACUCCUCUUCAACCUUCACACCGAUCAACAAUAGUGACAUCCCGGCCCUCGACGCCCCCACCGCCAUCAACAAUCCCUCUGGCAAGUUCAAAAUUGCUCGAACCCAAGUCCGUCGAUGGCUUAAUCAAUCUUGGAGAGCCGGGCCCCUUCUCUGCCCAGUCUCCGGCGAAACCGCACUGCAUCACGCCGGCAGGGAAGGCACGUGGAGGGCGAUGGAUGCGGAGCUCCCGGAGCUGCAGCGGCAGAUUGAGGUGGUGCAGAGCGCGCAGUCGAGGGUGCGGCUGUUGGAGUGGAGUUGCUGGAUACAUAAGCUUCAGGAGCGCAACCUCACCGACUUCGAGCUCCUCCACACGGACUCCGGCAAGCAUGCAUCACACCAGAAGACACAGUCUCCACCCUGAAGGAAUGGUUGAGUGAUUCAGCUAUAGGAAGCAGUCAUGUUCUGCGAUUGAUUGCUGAAAUAUAUUUGUGCAUGAUCAAGACUACAAUCAGGCUCUCAAGCGCGCAUACACGCACACUGGAGGAACUCUAGACCUAUCUCACAAAGCUGCGAUUGUCUUCUGGUAGAAUUACAGAUCUGGGUGUUUCUUACCUUAGAGGUAAACACUGACUAUAACAGGCCUCUUUCUAAUUACAGUUUGGUGCUUUAAUUUUGAGUGGCUGAAUGAUCCAAAGAUCAGUCCUUCCUUCUGGUGUUUUAUGAGUCUACUCAUGAUCUCCAUUUAACUGCUUGAGGUUAUUUGAGCUCUGCUCUUGGUGGUAUCAAAGUUAGUGCUGGAGCAGUGUAACAUACACCUUUGCGUAGCCAAGGACUACACGACGCGGAGUGGAAUUUAAUUGCUAGUAACUGCAUAUUAAGGACCAUAUGCAGAGACAUGUUACAGACCAAAAUGACCGUGCUCCAUCUGGUGUACUGUUUUUUUUAGAAUACGUUGUACUAUCAGUGUUUCUUUCCCUGCUAUUCUCUUUUUCUAGAUACAUUGUCUUUACUACGUCAACCCACACAUUAGAGUUUUUCAUCUUCUUCUGAUCAAUCUGCAUCGAUGCUACUUCACUAGGCUUCUGUGUUACAACAGGAUAAUGGUUCACACUCGGGGCCGGCUUGUGUGAUGCAUAGCUUUGUAUUGGCUCUCCUAUCUUCCUCUCAAUUUAUUUUUCGCGAAAACGCAAAAGCAUUGCGUUUCGAUGCAUUGAUAGAAGAGAAGGUUAUAUGUACAAGUCCCCGAGAGGACAACCACCCCACCUUACAACUCGACCCAAGAAAAGAAGGCUAAUCUAGGGGAGUAGCUGGCGGACACCCCGGGCUCCCGCGUCCGCCCAUUGCUGUGCCUCGGCCCUAAUGUCGUUGAACAGGGACGCCACCGAAGGUUGCGCGUUGUCAAAGACCGCAGCAUUCCGGUGUUUCCAAAUCCACCACGUUGUAAGCAUGAUUAUCGACGAAGUACCUUUGCGCAGCUGGCGAGGGGCGGUCCGCACCACCAGCGACCACCACUCCGCGAAGUCACCCUCAACCGUGGGAGGACCUGAGGUGGAUCGGAUCCACGAGAGGACCUCGUACCAGAUCGUCCUGGAGAAAGAGCACCCAGUGAGGAAAAAAACGUUGGCUGGUAUAAGCUUCUUCUGGCAAGUUUACUGAGAUCGGUCUCAAUUCUGUUGGUGAAGCUUUAACUGACGUGGCUAUCUUUCGUCAGAGCUCUUCCUCUACCGAUGAUGGUGCUUCUGAGGUCACUCCUUAUAUUAAUAGUAUGCAGAUGAUUUCAUAGUGGAUGUUUCCAACAUAAAUGACAAGGUCUACCAGAUAGUUGAAGAAGAGUAAACUGUUGGACCCUUUCAGUUGGAUAAUGACAUAAAUUAUCCUCUUCAUGAAGUCCAGAGAGGUACAACCUAUCUUGUUCAGCUCACCUUUAUGUUGACAGAGCUAUGUUUAGAGGCAGUUUCGAGAGUGCGGCAAAAAAUGGUUAGAGAAAGUUUGCAAAGUGCGGCAAAAAAAAGAACAUUUUUAGGGAAAUUUCCAAAGUGUGGCGAAAAAUGGGUAGCGGCACUUUGCAAAGUGCGGCAAUAAUUCUUAGCAACAUGAUUAUAUUUGACACUUUUUAAUUGCCUCUAAAAAUAAUUCUUUAGAAGUGCCCCAAAAUUGAAACUAUGAUGUAGUGGUGGUGCUAUAGCCCCACCUGGACAGCGUCAAUUACUGUCGAACAGUUAUUAGAAUCCGUAACCACUCUAUCGCAUCCCACAUGGUUUUGUAGCUCCAGCAUGGUCGUG